UUAGAAAUUGGUAAGUAUGAUGUCGUGGGAAUUACAGACACAUGGCUGCAAGACCAGGGCUGGGAACUGAAUAUUCAGGGAUAUACAUCCUAUCGAAAAGACAGACAGGUGGGCAGAGGGGGUGGUGUAGUUCUGUUGGUGAGGAUUGAAAUCCCUUGCGAGGGUAACAUAGAAUCAGGAGAUGUGGAGUCAGUAUGGAUUGAACUGAGGGAUUGUAAAGGUAAAAAGGCGCUAAUGGGAGUUAUCUACAGGCCCCCAAACAGUAGCCUGGACAUAGGGUGCAAGUUGAAUCAAGAAUUAAAAUUGGCAUGUAGCAAAGGUAAUGGUAUGG